CACACGACUCUCGGCAACGGAUAUCACGGCUCUCGCAUCGAUGAAGAACGUAGCGAAAUGCGAUACCUGGUGUGAAUUGCAGAAUCCCGCGAACCAUCGAGUCUUUGAACGCAAGUUGCGCCCGAGGCCACUCGGCCGAGGGCACGCCUGCCUGGGCGUCACGC
rnacentral:rRNA from 1 species